GAUCAUUCCGGGUGCGCAUGGGCGGUACGAUGUGGUGUUGGAGAGUUAAUCGUAGGUACGGGGCGUGAAGUGGGCGCAGGCGGCAGAGCAAGUCGGGUGUUAACGCCCCGGGGUUAACUUGGGAAGUGCGCUCGAAACUACGUUGCUGGAGGUUGGCAGAGGAAGGUGGAAUUCCACGUGUAGCGGUGAAGUGCGUAGAGAUGUGGAGGAGCACGAAUGGCGAAGGCAGGCUUCUGGGCCAACACUGACGCUCAUGCACGAAAGCGUGGGGAGCAAACAGGAUUAGAUACCCGUGUAGUC
rnacentral:rRNA from 1 species